UGCUCAAAGAAACAACUGAGCUGCCUCGUGCACAAGGAAAAAUAAACAAGCUAGGAAAUGCCCAAGCUAGGUGUAUUCCAUGGCCACGCAAAAAUAUUAUGCAAACAGAUGAUACUACCCUGCUGCACUCUAAGGUUUCUAGUGUUUGUAGUCAGAUGUCAGUCAACAAUAGCGAGAAUGUGGAUCCCAACAAAAUAACUACUGGAACUCAGGUGACCAAGCAUCAGACUGAUUGCAGUACUUUAGAAGGUGCAGUGAGGAAUACCCUGAAGAGAAAGAAAGUUUUUGAGACAACAAAAAUGAAAAAAGGUACUCAAGCAAUCUCUCCUACAACCGGA